rnacentral:tmRNA from 1 species
GGGGGUGUUCCGGAUUCGAUUCCAACCAAGAUAUCAUGACGGCAUGCAGAGGAUGUCAGUUUCCUCUUUAAUCCACCUGGCAGCAUAUAACUGCUAAAAACACCAUCACGUUCGAGAACGACAACGCUCUCGCACUCGCUGCCUAAGUACAGCGACGAACCCUAGGGCCUGACCUGCAUCCCUAGAUCCGUUCGGUUAACGCAGGCGAUCCCCUUCUUUCGUCUCUAUCUCCGGGGUAAGUGAGAAUGAGAAUAGGUCGCACGGGUGCCCAUUCCCAAACGCGACCGAGAUUAAUAAUGAAGCUAAGCAUGUAGAAGCUGUGACGUACGGGUUAGAAGACGUGGGUUCAACUCCCACCACCUCCACCU